rnacentral:lncRNA from 1 species
AUCUAAUAAAUUUGACGUGAAGCAUAAUGGGACAAACAUACCGAGACUCCAUUUGUCACAAAUAAUAUAUGCUAAAUACUUUUCUAUUUGUCACAUGGAAAAAUGGGACAUCAUUGAUUUGAUUUGCAACUAAACAUUCAUGAAGGCAGUUGAGUAAAAGGAGAUGAGAGAGUAAGCCUGGUUGAUGGACCACCACUUAAUCCACUUG